CCCCUGCCCUGAAGCUCGCUGGCCCUGGUCCAGCACGGUGCCCAGUUGGUCGGACAACCAUUUGUUCUCGGCGGCACUGGCAAAGACAAAGCCCAACACGGCCAACAGCAGCAGCAGCAGCAGCUCCGAUGGGCAAUCGCAGCAGGACGAAAUUCUAAGCGCAGUUUUCGAUAUCGAACACGAUCGCUUUUGUGCUCGUCAUGGCCAGUCUCGUGUCCCGACUCCCGACUGCCGAGUCCCAUUGCCGGUCUCAGACUCUGAUAAGGCAUGCGCUUACAAUACCUGGAAAUGAAGCCGGCUACGGCCGGAUAAUCAAAUUGUUGCUUUUCUAGUUUUCCCCAAUUGGUCGUCGCUGCGGCAGCAAUCGCAAAUUUCUUAUCUGCGUCGGCAAAUGGCCAAACAAACGGCCGACGCUCGUCAGCAUUAAAUUGCCAGCGACUGCGACUGCGACUGCGUCCGCUUCCGCGACUCGGCCUGGCCCGCAGACCCACAAACUUGGCCCAAAGAUGAUGAAGUCCACGAAUCGGCGGCGGCAACGGCGGCGGCUCAACUGCAAAAUGCUUUCAAGUCGUUUUUGUUUUGCUCGCUGGCAACGUUGCGUUUUCAGCUCAAGUCGAAUGCAGUUGUUACCAGCACACAGUUGACCCCGCCCCACCCCAACCCGCCACCACUUCAUCAUAUACUAUACCAUGCGAUUCGUCGAUCGAGCAUUCGAAGCCAGCAGGCAGCAAACGAGUAGCAACCAAAUUUGUUUCAUGAUGACGGCAACUACACAAAAUUCACAAAUACACAUUUAUAGACCAUAUAUGUAUUUGCACACACACACACGCACACACACGCACACACACACACACGCACACACACAUGACGCACGAUCCCAAACCCAGGCUUGAGAAACUUUUUAGUCAUGGACGGUUUGUUGUUGUUCCCAUCGCUGCAGUUGCAGAGCAGUUGGACUGGGACUGAGACUGGGGCAGGGACGCGGUUGCAUGCCUCCCGUGUACGCGCGGGCAUGCAACACGGUGUGUUUGUUGCUUUUGGGCUGCGCCCCGCCGUCUUGCCACGAUUGACGUUUGAGACGUCGUUGUCGAUGACGAUGAGGAUGAGGAUGACCGUGUGACAGGGGCAACUAAUACUAAUGGCCCAGAGUUCGAUCCGUAUCCACGUGGGCGCAGGCCAAAGUGAAAGUAAAGAGCUUUUCUACGAUCCAAAAACUGAAAAAAUGUAAAUUGCAAUUCACCCGAAAUGAAUCAUUUAUCUACUCUCGAGCUCUACUUUUACUACUCUUGCCAGUUUAUUAUGCAGUAAAUAAUUCACCUAGUAGCUUGUUAUGCUCUAGCAGAGGGCAUUUUAAUUCUAACUGGAAAAACAUGCCACGCCCGGCUGUCCCUCGUUAAUUUUCUAUGCAAAUUCGUCUCCGAGCUGUCAAUCAAUCCGGAUGAGCUCCGGCGACUGCCAGAUCGAGCCACUUUUUCAAAAAGAUGCCAUGUUAACUAAAACUGUUGCUGGGAUAUUCAAAUUGCGCGCUAUCAACAUAACCUCAACUAACAAAGAGAUGUGAAUUCGCAAAAGGCAACUCUACAAAGUUUUUAUGGCAGCUCUGUGCUUGCAGGAUUGCCAAUCUCAUUGCCAAAAUUCAAACGGUAUUUUAAACAGUUUUUCAAGUUCAAGUUUGGCGCCCAAGUACAAAUGUGGCAAGUUAGCUUGAAAUUCUUUUGUUUCGCUCUUUAAUAAAUCUUUUUAAUCUCUAUAAACAAA